rnacentral:rRNA from 1 species
UACGGGGGGGGCAAGCGUUGUUCGGAAUUACUGGGCGUAAAGGGCUUGUAGGCGGCCAACUAAGUCAGACGUGAAAUCCCUCGGCUUAACCGGGGAACUGCGUCUGAUACUGGAUGGCUUGAGUGUGGGAGAGGGAUGCGGAAUUCCAGGUGUAGCGGUGAAAUGCGUAGAUAUCGGAAGGAACGCCGGUGGCGAAAGCGACACACUGGAUCUUGUCUGACGCUGAGGCACGAAAGCCAGGGGAGCGAACGGG